ensembl:snRNA U6 U6 spliceosomal RNA
GGGCUCGCUUCAGCAGCACAUAUAGUAAAGUUGGAAUGAUACAGAGAAGAUUAGCAUGGCCCCUGAACAAGGAUGACACGCAAAUUCGUAAAGCAUUCCAUAUUUUU